rnacentral:pre_miRNA from 1 species
CCGAAUUCCUUCCGUCUUAUAUGAAAUUUUUUUAUGAUUAGUAUUUUUAUUGUUGUUUGAUGAUAAAACAUGAACAAUACUUUAUGCGUGACUUAUCUUUUUAAAUUUUUUUAUAUUUUUUUUUAAAUAAGACGGACGGUCAAACGUUGGACACGAAAACCCAAG